GGGUUGCCUGUUGGUUUCAUACACCCCCACCAAGAAUCUCAGCUGUCGGAAAACAAAGGGAAGAAUAGAUUUAAAGGCUACUACCCGUACGACUACAACCGUGUGGUGCUGCAUGACGACAACAGCGGCGGUGGAGGAGACUACAUCAACGCCAGCUAUGUGGACGGAUACAACAUCGAAAAGCGCUACAUCGCAGCACAAGG